CCAAUAGCGUAUAUUAAAGUUGUUGUGGUUAAAAAGCUCGUAGUUGAACCUUGGGCCUGGCUGGCCGGUCCGCCUCACCGCGUGUACUGGUCCGGCCGGGUCUUUCCCUCUGUGGAACCCUAUGCCCUUCACUGGGUGUAGCGGGGAAACAGGACUUUUACUUUGAAAAAAUUAGAGUGCUCCAGGCAGGCCUAUGCUCGAAUACAUUAGCAUGGAAUAAUAGAAUAGGACGUGUGGUUCUAUUUUGUUGGUUUCUAGGACCGCCGUAAUGAUUAAUAGGGACAGUCGGGGGCAUCAGUAUUCAAUUGUCAGAGGUGAAAUUCUUGGAUUUAUUGAAGACUAACUACUGCGAAAGCAUUUGCCAAGGAUGUUUUCAUUAAUCAGGAACGAAAGUUAGGGGAUCGAAGACGAUCAGAUACCGUCGUAGUCUUAACCAUAAACUAUGCCGACUAGGGAUCGGACGAUGUUAUUUUUUAAUGACUCGUUUGGCACCUUACG
rnacentral:rRNA from 1 species